rnacentral:tRNA from 4 species
GGGUCUGUAGCUCAGGUGGUUAGAGCGUACGCCUGAUAAGCGUAAGGUCGGUAGUUCGAGUCUACUCAGACCCACCA